GUUUCUGUAGUGUAGUGGUUAUCGCAUUCACCUAACAUGUGAAAGGUCCCUGGUUCAAGACUAGGCUGAAACA
rnacentral:tRNA from 1 species